rnacentral:misc_RNA from 1 species
AACGCACGAGACCUGCGGACCUGCGGAAGGAUCAUUACCGAGUUAUCCAACUCCCAACCCCUGUGAAUUAUACCUUUAAUUGUUGCUUCGGCGGGACUUCGCGCCCGCCGGGGACCCAAACCUUCUGAAUUUUUUAAUAAGUAUCUUCUGAGUGGUUUAAAAAAUGAAUCAAAACUUUUAGCAACGGAUCUCU